rnacentral:rRNA from 1 species
UACGAGCGGCCCAAACGUUAUUCGGAUUUACUGGGCUUAAAGAGUUCGUAGGCGGCGCAGAAAGUAGGGUGUGAAAGCCCUCGGCUCAACCGAGGAAUUGCGCCCUAAACUACUGUGCUUGAGGAACCUAGAGGUGAGCGGAACUGAUGGUGGAGCGGUGAAAUGCGUUGAUAUCAUCAGGAACACCGGAGGCGAAGGCGGCUCACUGGGGGUUAUCUGACGCUGAGGAACGAAAGCCAGGGGAGCGAACGGG